rnacentral:rRNA from 1 species
AGUGAACGCUGGCGGUAGGCCUAACACAUGCAAGUCGAACGGCAGCACAGGAGAGCUUGCUCUCUGGGUGGCGAGUGGCGGACGGGUGAGGAAUACAUCGGAAUCUACCUUUUCGUGGGGGAUAACGUAGGGAAACUUACGCUAAUACCGCAUACGACCUCCGGGUGAAAGCAGGGGACCUUCGGGCCUUGCGCGGAUAGAUCAGCCGAUGUCGGAUUAGCUAGUUGGCGGGGUAAAGGCCCACCAAGGCGGCGAUCCGUAGCUGGGCUGAGCGGAUGAUCAGCCACACUGGAACUGGGACACGGUCCAGACUCCUACGGGAGGCAGCAGUGGGGAAUAUUGGACAAUGGGCGCAAGCCUGAUCCAGCCAUACCGCGUGGGUGAAGAAGGCCGUCGGGUUGUAAAGCCCUUUUGUUGGGAAAGAAAAGCAGCCAGUUAAUACCUGGUUGUUCUGACGGUACCCAAAGAAUAAGCACCGGCUAACUUCGUGCCAGCAGCCGCGGUAA